GACGAACGCUGGCGGCGUGCUUAACACAUGCAAGUCGAACGGUGAAGCGCCUUCCUUUUUGGUGGGUGUGGAUGAGUGGCGAACGGGUGAGUAACACGUGAGUAACCUGCCCCCUUCUUCUGGAUAACCGCAUGAAAGUGUGGCUAAUACGGGAUAUUCUGGGUCUGUCGCAUGAUGGGUCUGGGAAAGAUAUUGUUUCGGUGGGGGAUGGGCUCGCGGCCUAUCAGCUUGUUGGUGGGGUGAUGGCCUACCAAGGCGGUGACGGGUAGCCGGCCUGAGAGGGUGGACGGUCACACUGGGACUGAGACACGGCUCAGACUCCUACGGGAGGCAGCGGUGGGGAAGAUUGCACAAUGGGCGCAAGCCUGAUGCAGCGACGCCGCGUGAGGGAUGGAGGCCUUCGGGUUGUGAACCUCUUUCGCCAGUGAAGCAGGCCUGCCUCGUAUGUGGGUGGGUUGACGGUAGCUGGAUAAGAAGCGCCGGCUAACUACGUG
rnacentral:rRNA from 1 species